GGACCCCACUGCUAUCGGGAUGGGACUAAGACAUGCUAGUUGAGCGCUUUCCAGCCAUGUGGGAGGCGCAGCGCACAGCUCAGUAACACGUGGCUAACCUGCCCUUAGGACGAGACCAACCCCGGGAAACUGGGGAUAAUCCUCGAUAGGUGAAGAACUCUGGAAUGAGUCUUUGCCUAAAAGGCGUUGGAUCAUGCUUUCAGCGUCGCCUAAGGAUGGGGCCGCGACCGAUCAGGUUGUUGGUGAGGUAAUGGCCCACCAAGCCUAUAACCGGUGCGGGCCGUGAGAGCGGGAGCCCGGAGAUGGGCACUGAGACAAGGGCCCAGGUCCUACGGGGCGCAGCAGUCGCGAAAACUUUGCAAUACACGAAAGUGUGACAGGGUCAUCCCGAGUGCCGACC
rnacentral:rRNA from 1 species